rnacentral:snRNA from 1 species
AUCGCUUCUCAGCCUUUUGGCUAAGAUCAAGUGUAGAAAUCCGCCUGCCUCUGCCUCCCGAGUGCUGAGAUUAAAGGCGUGCACCACCACGCCCGGCAUACGUUGCUUUCUUCUUAUACAUACAUUUGUAUGAAUUUUUUAAUCAUCUCAACUUCUGAGAAAGAUAACUUUGAAUAAUUGAAAGAAAAUUUUGAUACUGUUUCAAAUUCUUUUAAAUUUGA